GACGAACGCUGGCGGCGUGCUUAACACAUGCAAGUCGAGCGGUAAGGCCCUUUCGGGGGUACACGAGCGGCGAACGGGUGAGUAACACGUGGGUGACCUGCCCUCAGCUCUGGGAUAAGCCUGGGAAACCGGGUCUAAUACUGGAUAUGACUCCAUGACGCAUGUUGUGGGGUGGAAAGCCUUGUGCGGCUGAGGAUGGGCCCGCGGCCUAUCAGCUUGUUGGUGGGGUGANGGCCUACCAAGGCGACGACGGGUAGCCGGCCUGAGAGGGCGACCGGCCACACUGGGACUGAGACACGGCCCAGACUCCUACGGGAGGCAGCAGUGGGGAAUCUUGCGCAAUGGACGAAAGCCUGACGCAGCGACGCCGCGUGAGGGAUGACGGCCUGGUGUAAC
rnacentral:rRNA from 1 species